AUUUAUAUAGUUUAAAAAAAACCUUACAUUUUCAUUGUAAAAUUAGAUUAAAUCUUAUAAAUA
rnacentral:tRNA from 1 species